rnacentral:lncRNA from 1 species
UUCUCUCCCAGUUCCCCCACUUCGCUCCCAGUUUGGUCCCAGUUCACUCCCACUUACCCCAGUUCACUCCCAGUUUGCUCCCAGUUCCCCCAGUUCAAUCCCAGUCUCUCCUAGUUCACUCCCAGUUACCCCAGUUCACUCCCAGUUACCCCAGUUUGGUCCCAGUUUGCUCCCAGUUACUCCAGUUCAGUCCCAGUUUGCUCCCAGUUCACUCCCAGUUCGCUCCCAGUCUCUCCCAGUUUGUCCCAGUUCACUCCGAGUUGCCCCAGUUCAGUCCCAGUUCCCCCAAUUCAGUCCCAGUUCAAUCACAGUCUGCUCCCAGUUCCCCCAGUUCACCCCUAGUUCAGUCCCAGUUCUCUCCCACUUACCCCAGUUUGGUCCCAGUUCUCUCCCAGUUUGUCCCAGUCUCUCCCAGUUACCCCAGUUCAGUCUCAGUUUGCUCCCAGUUAUCCCAGUUUGUCCCAGUCUCUCCCAGUUACCCCAGUUCGCUCCCAGUUCCCCCAGUUCAAUCCCAGUCUCUCCUAGUUCACUCCCAGUUACCCCAGUUUGGUCCCAGUUCUCUCCCAGUUACCCCAGUUUGGUCCCAGUUCUCUCCCAGUUAACCCAGUUUGGUCCCAGUUACCCCAGUUUGGUCCCAGUUCUCUCCCAGUCUCUCUCAGUUACCCCAGUUUGGUCCCAGUUCGCUCCCAGUCUCUCCCAGUUCUCUCCCAGUCUCUCCCAGUUACCCCAGUUUGGUCCCAGUUCUCUCCCAGUUCUCUCCCAGUCUGUCCCAGUUACCCCAAUUCUCUCCCAGUUCUCUCCCAGUUUGUCCCAGUCUCUCCCAGUUACCCCAGUUCGGUCUCAGUUUGGUCCCAGUUCUCUCCCAGUUCUCUCACAGUCUCUCCCAGUUACCCCAGUUUGGUCCCAGUUACCCCAGUUUGGUCCCAGUUCUCUCCCAGUUCUCUCCCAGUUUGUCCCAGUUCGGUUCCGUUUCUCUCCCGGAAGUCGCCGCCGGCCGCGCGCCGCUCACGUGACCCCCCGCCCCUUUAGCCCCGCCCCCGUUGCCGCGGCAACCGCGCCGUCUUUCCGGCCCACCACGUGAUCCGCGCCCCGACCAAUCGGCGGCCGGCGCGGGGCAGCGCUCGGCCAAUCAGAGCGCGGGGAGGCGGCGCGCGCGCGGCUGUGUGCUGGCCUGGGCGCCGCCAUGUUGGGGGGGGCACCAAGAGCAC